UACGGGGGGGGCAAGCGUUGUUCGAAAUUACUGGGCGUAAAGGGCUCGUAGGCGGCCAACUAAGUCAGACGUGAAAUCCCUCGGCUUAACCGGGGAACUGCGUCUGAUACUGGAUGGCUUGAGGUUGGGAGAGGGAUGCGGAAUUCCAGGUGUAGCGGUGAAAUGCGUAGAUAUCUGGAGGAACACCGGUGGCGAAGGCGGCAUCCUGGACCAAUUCUGACGCUGAGGAGCGAAAGCCAGGGGAGCAAACGGG
rnacentral:rRNA from 1 species